rnacentral:rRNA from 1 species
ACAUGCAAGUCGAGCGAGCUGAAUUCAAAGAUUCCUUCGGGAUGAUUUGUUGGAUGCUAGCGGCGGAUGGGUGAGUAACACGUGGGCAAUCUGCCCUAAAGACUGGGAUACCACUUGGAAACAGGUGCUAAUACCGGAUAACAACAUGAAUCGCAUGAUUCAAGUUUGAAAGGCGGCGUAAGCUGUCACUUUAGGAUGAGCCCGCGGCGCAUUAGCUAGUUGGUGGGGUAAAGGCCUACCAAGGCAAUGAUGCGUAGCCGAGUUGAGAGACUGAUCGGCCACAUUGGGACUGAGACACGGCCCAAACUCCUACGGGAGGCAGCAGGAGGGAAUCCUCCACAAUGGACGCAAGUCUGAUGGAGCAACGCCGCGUGAGUGAAGAAGGUUUUCGGAUCGUAAAGCUCUGUUGUUGGUGAAGAAGGAUAGAGGCAGUAACUGGUCUUUAUUUGACGGUAAUCAACCAGAAAGUCACGGCUAACUACGUGCCAGCAGCCGCGGUAAUACGUAGGUGGCAAGCGUUGUCCGGAUUUAUUGGGCGUAAAGCGAGCGCAGGCGGAAUGAUAAGUCUGAUGUGAAAGCCCACGGCUCAACCGUGGAACUGCAUCGGAAACUGUCAUUCUUGAGUGCAGAAGAGGAGAGUGGAAUUCCAUGUGUAGCGGUGGAAUGCGUAGAUAUAUGGAAGAACACCAGUGGCGAAGGCGGCUCUCUGGUCUGCAACUGACGCUGAGGCUCGAAAGCAUGGGUAGCAAACAGGAUUAGAUACCCUGGUAGUCCAUGCCGUAAACGAUGAGCGCUAGGUGUUGGGGACUUUCCGGUCCUCAGUGCCGCAGCAAACGCAUUAAGCGCUCCGCCUGGG